rnacentral:rRNA from 1 species
UACGGGGGGGGCAAGCGUUGUUCGGAAUUACUGGGCGUAAAGGGCGCGUAGGCGGUUUGCUAAGUCGAAUGUGAAAACUCUGGGCUUAACCCAGAGCCUGCAUUCGAUACUGGCAGGCUAGAGUUCUGGAGGGGAUAGCGGAAUUCCUGGUGUAGCGGUGAAAUGCGUAGAUAUCAGGAGGAACACCGGUGGCGAAGGCGGCUAUCUGGACAGAGUCUGACGCUGAGGCGCGAAAGCUAGGGGAGCAAACAGG